GCAGUGGUGGUUCAGUGAUAGAAUUCUUACCUUCCGUGCGGGAGACCUGGGUUCGAUUCUCGGCCGAUGCA
rnacentral:tRNA from 1 species